rnacentral:lncRNA from 1 species
AAUCCAGAAAUAGACAAGAAAGAGGGUUGAAACCUUCAUGACAAUGCUAGAGAAUUAACAGUGAGAGAUGCAUUAAGCAACAACACAGUUUUGCCUUUUACAAGCUCCCUGAGGUUUUUAUUUCAGUCAGAGGACCAAGAUUUCAGUUCAAGUCACUGGAAGAAAAGAGCUGUCAUUUAUGCUCUCUACUUACAGGUAAAUUGUCUUGUGAUUAUUUCCACAGAACUCUGACUUGGAUAAGUUCCCCAGAGGGCAAGACCAAGGUCAGUUUAAUCUGAAGUCUUUCGUACUUGAUAAAAAUGUCACUGUAAUGAAAACUUGACCGCAAUUAUAAAGAUGACAUCAUUAUGAUGAUGAUUAUGAUAAUAAUGAUGACGAUGAUGAUGACUUUGCCAUUGCUUUGCAGAAAAGGCUACCUAAGAUCGGAACCCUCUGAUAAUUUGUGCUGCUAUUUUAAGAUCCAGUUCCAUUCUACAACUGGCUGAAGCAUGAAGUCAACUAAAAUAAACUGAAUUGAGUGGAACUGAACUGAACUGAAGUGAAAUAAUGUGAUUUCCAGUAAACCUGACACCUUAAGGACAGAACAUGAGCCUUGCCCAUCUUCCUCCCAGAGGUCCCAGCACAAUCACCGACUCACACAAUACUCUCAGUGCAUGAGUGAUGAAUUUCACUAACAGCGACCCAUCUCUCUACAUAAUCCACUCCGGUUUCACCAGAGCUGAGAGUAUCAUGAAUUACAUCUAUAGAUAGCUGUAAGCUAAUGACCAAAGCACAUAACUGAAUUCAAACAUAUUCUUUAUUGCAGUCAGAUGUGAGAAAACAAAAUUUAGAAGACAAGCCAGAAAGGAAAUGAAGAACAUAAAGAGCCUGAAUUCUCAUCGUCAAUUUUUCCCUGACUGACUCCGUUUUCCUCUCUUCUUUCCAUUUACCUUUCUGUUCCCAUCCCCAUCAUUUUUGUAGUGUUUAUUGAGUGUCUGCUGCAUGCCAGUCAAUGUGCUGAGUACUUUUCAUGUGUUAUACCAUUUGAUCGUCACAGCAGCACACUAUUAUAAUUAUGAAUAUGAUUCCACAUACUAUAUCUAAAAUUUAACUUAAUUUUACAUAGGAGGAAGCUGAGACUUGCCCAAGACUACUCCAUUAGUAAGAUGUGAACCAAGUGAACCAUGUCUGACUCAAACCUAACCCCUGAUUCUCUGAAUCCAUAUCACCGUAGAACUCAACAGUGAAAUAUUGGGGUAGAGGUAAUGCUAUUAGUACACAAACUAUGCACAGAUUUACAAGCAACUAAACAGGAACUCAUGGCCAGGCACAAUGGUUCAUGCC